GAUGAACGCUGGCGGCGUGCCUAAUACAUGCAAGUCGAGCGAACGGACGAGAAGCUUGCUUCUCUGAUGUUAGCGGCGGACGGGUGAGUAACACGUGGAUAACCUACCUAUAAUACUGGGAUAACUUCGGGAAACCGGAUCUAAUACUGGAUAAUAUUUUGUACCGCAUGGUUCAAAAGUGAAUGACGGUCUUGCUGUCACUUAUAGAUGGAUCCGCGCUGCAUUAGCUAGUUGGUAAGGUAACGGCUUACCAAGGCAACGAUGCUUAGCCGACCUGAGAGGGUGAUCGGCCACACUGGAACUGAGACACGGUCCAGACUCCUACGGGAGGCAGCAGUAGGGAAUCUUGCGCAAUGGGCGAAAGCCUGACGGAGCAACGCCGCGUGAGUGAUGAAGGUCUUCGGAUCGUAAAACUCUGUUAUUAGGGAAGAACAUAUGUGUAAGUAAAUGUGCACGUCUUGACGGUACCUAAUCAGAAAGCCACGGCUAACUACGUG
rnacentral:rRNA from 1 species